UGCCGGCGUGUGCAACACCGGCGAACUCAAGUGCUGCAACACCGUCGGCAAGUCCAACGACCCCGCAGUCACCUCAGGCCUGCCGGCUCUCCUUCAAGUCGUCCUCUCGGGCUUGGACAUCCCCAUCGGCGUCAACUGUGACCCCAUCACCGUCAUCGGCGCUGGGCUCAGUAGCUCCUGCAAGGCUCAGCCCGUCUGCUGCAGCGACAACUCCGCCG
rnacentral:misc_RNA from 1 species